CUUGCGGCCACAUCACAUUGAAACACCGGUUCCUGUACGAUCGUCGAGGUUAAGCAACGUCGAGCCUGGUGAGUAAAUAGGUGACCGCUUGGGAAAACCAGCUGUUGUAAG